ensembl:lncRNA
AAACACUGCACUCGUGUUGUGUGUGUCACGCUGUAUGAAUGACUGGUAGUCAUGAGGACAUGUUCAGAGAGGAGAUGAGUAUAUCAUGUGAUCUCUCUCAGCCAAUGCCUCCCCACGUCAGAAUGAAAAGUAAAUGUGAUUAUAUUCCAGGUGUGGAAGGGCAGGGCCAGAUGCUACAAGCGUACAUGUGACUUUUCUUCAAAGACAAGGCUUUGAUGUCGCCACUCGGCUCCAGAGACCUUAGCUGCUGUUUGAAGUCCCCACACCCACCCACUCUGCUCAUUGCUCUCCACAGCAGCCAGGACAAACUAAUACAGCAUCAGCUCUUUCUGUCUCUCUGUCCAUCUGCUCUGGUCUGGUCUGGUCUGAACAGGGCCCGUCCUGUUUGGUGCAGUCCGGUCUAUAUUUAGAGACUCUCUGGUCUGCUGACCUGAUGGCUUACUUAUUCACUGAGUUGUUUGACAUGCAUGUGUGCUUCUAUAGGUUUCCUAGCAUGCUGCUUUGUGUUGGGCACACCGCAUCUCACAUUACUGAAGAGACUGAGCGGAUGCCACUGCUGAAAGCUAGACCGAGUGAUAUGACAUCAAGGCGACUUGUCACAAGGAGUCUUCAGUGAGGGAAAUGUGUGACAGGUUAGUUGUAGCUGUGCUUUUCCUGCGAAUACAUGAGUACAGCAUUGGUAGUUCUUGCGUCCGUGGUGCCCACUAACAUUAAAUCAUUUUCACAUCUGGGAAAACAGUUUCAGAUUAGAUUGGGUUUGUUAAAAAACCCUGGCUUCAUAGAGGAGUUUGGUUCAGUCUGAAUGGAUAUCAAAGGAGUGCUCCACCGGCUUAUUUCAAGACGUAUUUCUAGAAUACUCUAGAAUGGCUGGAUCCUACAGUUCCUAUUAGCAACUGAAUCUGGAUCUAUCUUUGAUCCCUUUUCCAUCAAUUGAAGCGUAUUUUUUCAAACUUUGGAAAGAUCCUCAAGACAUGAUACAACUGUUUAUACUGGAAUAUUGGCAGAACUCCCCUUUAAGCAGAAUUUUAAGCUAAAUGGUGCCCUUUUAAAACAUUAUCUUAGAUUAAAGAACACAUAGAUGUUUCACGUGUGUGAAACAUCUACGUGUUAAAGAACACAUAGAUGUUUCACAUGUUCAGUCCUGAGAGAUUCUUUACCUUGACGCCAUGAUGUCAUAUCACCAAGUCCAUCCGUAGCCAACAAACUGUCUUCAAUUUUCAAAAAACCUCUGCCUUCUUAGACAUGGCAGAGAUCUUGUGCCAUAUCAUUCUAAAGACUCAUUAUUUCAUACAAAAGAAGAAAACGACAAAAACAGAAAGAAACAUGAGCCAACUCAGAGUCUCUUGACUGCUGAACAAGAAGGACUAUAAAGGAAUCAUGAAUAAGCUUUUUCAUAAUGUUGCUACAUUGUGUACCCGAGACCAGAGAAAGGGGACUUUCUUCACAUGGCAAGGACAUGGACGGUAUAACGGAACGCUUGUGAUUUUAAUACACAGUGAAGUUUUAUGUGUCACUUUGCAAAAUGUAUGCCAAAACUGGAGUCAUCCAAAGCUGGAGCAUUCAACAUUCUGCUAGUGAAAUAAUUUCUCAAAACUGAUAUUUGGCAUUCACUGAUAUUAUUAAAAGAAGCUGAAACAAAUUUUUAAAGGGAUUUUAGAAGCUGAAACAGAAUGUCAUGCCUCUUUCCAGACUGGGUGUCUCCACGAUGCAGGUGAUGUUUUAACUCUGGUUGUGUUUCGUGUUCAGAUGAUAACCGACCAGGCUGCAACAGGUACCAUGCUGUAAAGAAAAACAUGUAGCCUUGAUCCAGAGUCAGACCUCACGAGACAAAUAUGCACACCAAGAAUGAAUCCAUGACAAACAAGCUUGUUUCCACGUCCUUCCUCCUAGCUGUUUCUGAUGGGUUGAACAGUAGACAAGUAGCAAUUCUCUUAAUGGCAUUCCCAAUGCGACUGUUGAUUUUAUUUUUUUUUUUACACAAUUUGUCGUACUUGAUGAUCCAAACAGCAAGAAGUAGAUGGAUCACUGCAAGGUAAAGGAUGACAGGUGUGUCCAAAGGUUGCAAAUCCUCCUCUCUAUAGCAAGACAUAAGUGGAAGAAAAGAGAUUAAAGUAAUAGCAGAAUUUCAGUGUCAUCCAGAUUUAAUAGAUUGUGGAUUCCUUGUGCUAAAUCAAAAGGUUGUUUAGCGUCACAAUAUCUGUCAAGCUUUCUGUUGGCACACAGCAAAUACACAGUUAACAGUGAUAAAAGUGUCUAAUUUAUGAUCAGAUGGUGGUUUUCCACAGCGGGAAAGGGGCAGGUACAAGGUGACAUUUAGAGGAACAGCCUGGUAAACUUAUUCUGAAGUAGGCACUUUUCUCUCCCUCAAAAAUGGCCAAAAAUGCUUCUACAGGGGUGUUUCCUGCAGUCGGAACACACCCCAAACAGCUGGGUCACCCUAAAAUGGCUAAAAUGCAAGUUCUAGCAAUGGAAAACGUCCUAUUGUCAUUUUUUAGACAAUUAGUCCUUAAUCAGACUCAUGUAAACAAAACACUUGCAGCAACAGCUAAUAAGCUAAAAUUGCAACACUCUCUGGCUAGCCCAAGUUAGCUAAUGGCUAAUAAGCUAAAAAAUAAUCUGGACUGACUCAUUAUUGUUUCUAGUUGACUCAUUUCAAAAUUAUGUUAAAGGUCUCUUAAAUAUGUUCUUGAUCGCUAAACAGGUAAAGCUGUGCUAGAAGGCAGACGCUAAAGCUAACAGGUUUUUGGAAAAAGUUAGUAUCCUCACCAGCUCAUGAAACUUGAGAAAUAUUGUUCUUUUACUGAAUCUAGCUAAUCUCUAUAUUUAAAUUUUAUCAGGAUAAACGUAAAACUGGACUUUUAUUUUUUCACUUUUAAUGUUAGGAAAGUCAAACGUAUGGCAACUGUUAGCUAAGGUAACGCUAGCUGUUGGUAUUGGAGCGUAAACCUACACAAACCAGAUGGUUUGCAGGAUAAAGCUGCUAACAUUACUUUAAACUCUUAUUGCUACAUGGUUUAGCAUCCACACAGCAGGUAAAUACAACAAAACUGAUAUGCUAGUCAUUAGCACAGCCGUAUAAGCUAAUGACUAGCAAUGGCUGUUUAGCCUUCAGGUCACCACUGUUGGUCGUAAGAUAGCUAGCUGGACAAGCUAAUGAUUGUAGCAUGUGUUAGAGUCAGUCAUUCUUCACAUUUGCUCUUGUGAUUUUGGAAAGACGCCAACCACCAAAGUCUUGAAAUAUGUGUAAUAAUGUGAAACGCAAAGCUUGACAGUCUUGUUGCAACACAUUACAGGUGAACACUGACUGAACAAUUAUUCUGAGGGCAGAUUUCAGCAAAUGGUUACUUCUACUAGUUCUGCUUUUAAAAUGUUAAUUACCCCACAGCCCCCUCACACACACACACACACACACACUCACAUGUUGAAUAUUACGUUUAUAUUAUUCAGCACCGUGUAGAUGUCACAUUUUUACAGUCGAGGAGUGAUGAUGUAUUUCUCAAUGCGCAAAAUUCCCUGGAAAUUUUUCAUUCUUUCUACUUCCUCCUGCUCCGAUCCUGUCAGCUGUACAGGGACAGUAAAAACACAAGGAAAGGAAACUUGUCCUCUGAAUGAACCUUCUUCCAGAAGUGGAGAAAAAAGUGUGGGUUGGCUACACCCCCCUCCUAUACAUGCUCUCAUCAUCGAUCAACUCAUAACAAUGUGCCAUAUUUUAUCUUGCAACACGUACAAGACAAAAACUAUCGUGCAACAUAUGAUGCUUCUAAUGACGAUGAAGUCGGUUUUCCUUCCUUUUCAUUUGUGAAUCAUAUUGUGUAAACAAGAAUCUUUGUUGAACAAAAUUCAAGGCUACUAGUGUUACUAGAGUGCUGAUGCUGCAAUCUGUUACUAUGUGGAUGUAUGAAUAUGUAUGUGAGAAAUAAGAAUAAUUUGAUCAACUGUUACAGGUACUUUAUAUAAAAACCUUUACAAGCA